UGAGGAAUAUUGGGCAAUGCCCGCAAGGGUGACCCAGCAACGCCGCGUGGAGGAUGAAUGUCGUAAGAUUGUAAACUCCUGUUAGAGGGGAAGAAUAGUACCGGUUGGACCGGUAUAUGACUGUACCCUCAGAGAAAGCCCCGGCUAACUACGUGCCAGCAGCCGCGGUAAUACGUAGGGGGCAAGCGUUGUCCGGAUUUACUGGGUGCAAAGGGCGCGCAGGCGGGAUAAAAAGUCAGUGGUGAAAUCCUACAGCUUAACUGUAGAACUGCCUUUGAUACUUUUAUUCUUGAGUUCGGGAGAGAGAGACGGAAUUCCAGGUGUAGUGGUGAAAUACGUAGAUAUCUGGAAGAACACCAGUUGCGAAGGCGGUCUCUUGGUCCGACACUGACGCUGAGGCGCGAAAGCGUGGGGAGCAAACA
rnacentral:rRNA from 1 species